GAACAAGUUUGAUAUCACCAGCCAGGUACAGGUGGAAUGUCCUCAGUGUUACAGAACACAGGUUGGCCACCUCUGACCUCGCCACGGGGGGAGUGACAGAUAAUGACAAAUCGAAGGAGAGGAAAGGAGGAGAUAAGUAACCUGGAUAUGAGGACUGUUGUAGAAUGCCAAAGAGCAGCAAGCCAGGGUAAGGGUCAGUGUGGCCAGGCAUUUCCCACCAAGGGUUAAUAAAGAUGCAAGGAGCUAUCAGAGGCAUUUAUUUUACUGUUCGUUCUGGUGCACAGCUUUCAGCAGCUGUCAGGAACAUGUCUUCGUUAUCAGUUUCUCCACCUUCUUCACUUCUGCAGCCUCUGACCGUUCCUCAACGGCUUAUGUUGGGCCCUGGACCAUCCAAUGUCCCCCCACGAAUACAAGCUGCUGGGGGCCUGCAGAUCAUUGGUCACAUGCACCCCGAAAUGUUUCAGGUAAGCAGAGCCAAAAGGGUCAAGUGAGAAUUUUACAACAUUUAGUCCUUGUCAAAUAUGCUUCUAUAUAAAGGUUCUUGCCAUUUAAUUUAUGAUUAUUAUUAUCUUGAUUUGUUAUUAUCAUGGUUUUCAUCAAAUAUUUCUAGUUUAAUUCUUUGGCCUUAAAUUUUCACCAUAUUUGUUGGCAGUAAACCCAUUAUAUUACACCUAUUUAUUUAUUGUGUAUUUUCAAACAUUAAGGACAGCAUACACAUUUCGAAUAACACAAAGCAUUAUGGUUGAUAUAUUCUAAGAUGAUAACAUAUAAUAACUAGUGGCAUACAUGUAUGAGACAAAGAGACAGAGGCAGCUCUAGACUUUGCAAGGCCCUAGGUGGAAUUUGAAUAUGAGGCCCUUACUGACACCCAUAAUGAAAAAGAAAUGCAAGCACUAAUAUAAUUAACUGACCAGGUGUCUAGUGGUGGGGACUCCUUUUCUCCUUCCUGUUUUCCCUUUUCUAUGUGGUACAGUUUCCAGCCAGUAGGUGCCCACAUAUAACUCCACACGGGCUGCCUUGACUCUCAGUCCACCCUGCAGGGCUGGCAACAUAACACGUAUAGCCCCUUACAGUCACUGAGCCCCAACCAACCCACACAUACACUUCCUGUGACGGAGCUCCCUUUUUCCCCAAGCUUGGUACCUCUGCCAAGCUCUUUUCCUAGCUGGAACAGGGAAAUUUAUAGUGCUUCUGCCACAGUCACCACACUUGACUGGGGUCCUUCUGGAUUCCACCUGACAAGCCUACAACCCUUCUCCCAGGCAGGUAUCAUCCCCUCUGCCUAUUUCUCUGCAGUCUCUCUUCCAGGCAGGUAUCAUCUCCUCCGCCUAUUCCACUACAGCACUGCUUAGAGUGAUGGCUACUGCCUUUACAAAGGCACAUGCAACUAUCAUGCAUAGCUCUCUUGAGUUAUCCAAGGUCUAAAGACUCUGUCAUUGGAAUCCCUAAAAAUCCACACACAGUUCCAAAUGGAACUAACAUACAAAACUUAAUUUUUACUUGGGACUAGCCCAUAUGUUCAUUACAUAUAGAUUACUGUGAGAACUCAAUAAAAAUACAAACAGUCAAAUCACAUUAGACAACAUACAGAAACCUUUAAUAACAUAAUUACAUAUUUAUAAAGGGGUGGGAAAGGUAAUAAUUAAUAUAAAAUAUCUCUCCUGCUUGCAGAAUUAUCAAUAUGCAAAUCUACCCAAAUAUGCAAAUUAGCAAUCAUUGCUAUUCAGGUAGUGCAUACAGCUGUUGCUAGAUCCUUGCAACCAACAGAUGGCGCUACAAAGGUUCCACAGCCAAAUCUACCUAGUUGAUUGCAAGCAUUAGCAAGACUGGAGAGCACACAUUUAAGCCCAAACAACCACAUCACACACACACACAGACACACAAUGAUAUUACGUUAAACAUCUGAGGAAUACAAACUAUAUACAGAGAUUUGGACUACACAGCAAAUCUUUUGACUAACAGCAUGUACACAAUUUAGGAACAUAUAUACUAUAAUAAACAAUGCACUUUAACUGCGUACCUCGCUCUGCUUGCCAAGGGAUGCACUUAAACUUUAGGAAACCUCAGUGGCAAUCGCCUACCCACGAGGUGCUGCUGGCUUGCUUUACAUCUGAACGCUGAGUCACAGAGCUUUUUGCCUUCAAAACUAGAGGAAGGAGAAGGCUCUGCUGCUUAAACAUUCCCCAGGGAAACAAGAGGAAGGCAGAAAGGUUCCACCCGUGGCAGACAGUGCUAAACAAAGAUAUAAAGCAAGCAUGUCAAACUCUAAGGCUAGUACGGGCCACAUAUACUCACGUUGCCGCUGCCAGUAUGCGACUUUGGAGUCCAGCCUCUGGUAUACCCCCAAUGGCGCCGUCCACACCCUGUGCGGAUCCUCCCACUGCUCCUUGAAAACCUGUGAAGGUGGAGAAUAUUGAUGUCACGUGGUGUGGCAUUGCCACUGUGCACCUCCAGGUCCUCCACUGUCCAGCCGCGGCCAUCGCAAGACUGACCAACACACACUGACAGACACACUCACUGACAGACACACACACACUCACACUCUCUGACAGACACACGCACAUUCUCUGAUAGACAGACACACACAGUCUCUGACAGACACACACACUGACAGACACACACUCUGACACACACACACACUGAAAGUCACACACACACUUACUCUCUGACAAACACACACACAUUCUCUGACAGACAGACAGACACACACACACUCUCUCUGACAGACACACACAUUCUCUGACUGACAGACACACACAUUCUCUGACAGACACACACACACUGAAAGUCACACACACACUUACUCUCUGACAAACACACACACAUUCUCUGACAGACAGACACACACACACAUACACUCUCUCUGACAGACACACACACACUGAAAGUCACACACACACUUACUCUCUGACAAACACACACACAUUCUAUGACAGACAGGCACACACACACACACACACACACAUUUCCACAUUCUUGCACACACUAACAUCAUUUGAUUUAUUGCUUCCUACUUUUGGGAACUGGUGUGGGGCCUCUUUUCUCAGGAGCUCAGUCUUCCUGCUCCUCACUACUCCUUCACGCGCGCAGUUUAGUGAUGCCUUAAGGGAGCAGUGAGGAGCAGAAGAACAGACUGAGCUCUCUACUCCGGCCGGUACCGGGUAAAUUUGAGCAGAGUAGGCACCUGCAAUGUAAGAAGAGCAGGUGCCUACUCUGCCUUAGUAAUCAUGGCAAACUCGCAUCUCACGGGCCUCAAAUAUAUUCAUUGUGGGCCGCAGCGGCCCACGGGCCUCGAGUUUGACAUGAUUGAUGUAAAGUAAUAAGCGGACAGUUACAGUGACUACCGUCGCACUUCCAGACACAUUCAUGGGGUUACACAAACUGCCUGACAGGCAUACACUCGCACAGCGAUUCUCAAUGCCAGACACUGACACAUGUAUGCACAUGCCUCACAGCCGUGCACAGGCAAACAUACACACCCCCACUGCUAGGCACACCCUAUUCUUUGAAUACCGUUGGCCAUGUGGGUGGCAUCCCUAUGAAACUGUGAUGGAUUUCUGUCUUUCCUCAUGGCCUCCUCUGAGAACUGGGAAGAAAAGAUCGGCCAUCACUUCCCCCCAGUGCGGCCAUGCAUGUGGAGAGGCUAUACUUUGUAAAGGGUAUCAUCACCGGAUUCCACAAUUUGGUCCAGUGCCCAACCAAGCCAUGUAGCAUUACAGAGCACCUUGUGGACACCAAAGACUUCCAGCUCCAUCUCCCGCUCUUCCCCCAGCUCCAGCUCCCUCUCAACCCUAAGCUUCAUCUUUCCCAUCCAGCUUCGUCUUUCUCUCUCUCCUCUCCAUUCACCUCAAAUCUCAUCACUUAACUCCAUUUCAUCACUGAACUCAAUCUCCCUUUCUCCUCUAUCUCUAACCUCAUUUCCAUCUCCCUCAGCUCCAUUUUUUCUCACCCAUCAGCUCCAUUUUUCUCUCACCCCUCAGCUUCAUUUCCCUCUCCCUCUCUUUCAACCAGCUCCAUCUCCCUCUCUCCCUUCCAUCCACCUUAGAUCAAUUUCCCUCUCACUCCUCAGCUCCAUCUUCCUCUCUCCCCUCAACUCCAUCUCCAAUCUCCCCCUCUCUCACCAAGCACCAUAUCCCUCUCUUUCACCCAGCUCCAUCUCCCUCUCACCCCUUAGCUUCAUUUCCCUCUCCCUCACCCAGCUCCAUCUUCCUUUCAUCCACCAAGUUCCAUCUCCCUCUCUCUCAGCCAGCUCCAUCUCCCUCUCUCCCGUCCAUCCACCUUAGAUCCAUCUCCCUCUCACCCCUCAGCUCCAUCUUCCUCUCUCAUCUCAACUCCAUCUCACUGUCUCCCACCCAGCUCAUCUCCCUCUCUCUCACCAAGCUCCAUAUCCCUCUCUCUCACCAAUCUCUAUCUCCCUCUCUUUCCCCCCGGGUUCAUCAACCCCCUCACCCCCUCCACAGCUUCAUCUCCCUGAUAACUGGUCCCAUAGUAGGUAGUCCCAAGCUAAUUGAAAUCUGUAGCUUGAUAAAGCCUGAUUUAGCACUGCACAUCGUCCAUCUUGGGAGAUUGUGUAUAAGGCACCCCUAGAACCUUGGGCCUCAUUUCCACCUCAUUUCUAGAAAUAUGGGCAGAUUCAGAAUCCGCCUGCAUCCACAAGCCUGGAAGAGAGUCCACAAUCCCCAGAGUAGUAGUGCUCAUGUACAACCCAGUAGGUUGCUUCUCCUCUGUGCGAUGAUACUUAGAAACAUAGAAACAUAGAAACAUAGAAUGUGACGGCAGAUAAGAACCAUUCGGCCCAUCUAGUCUGCCCAAUUUUCUAAAUACUUUCAUUAGUCCCUAGCCUUAUCUUAUAGUUAGGAUAGCCUUAUGCCUAUCCCACGCAUGCUUAAACUCCUUUACUGUGUUAACCUCUACCACUUCAGCUGGAAGGCUAUUCCAUGCAUCCACUACCCUCUCAGUAAAGUAAUACUUCCUGAUAUUAUUUUUAAACCUUUGUCCCUCUAAUUUAAGACUAUGUCCUCUUGUUGUGGUAGUUUUUCUUCUUUUAAAUAUAGUCUCCUCCUUUACUGUGUUGAUUCCCUUUAUAUAUUUAAAUGUUUCUAUCAUAUCCCCCCUGUCUCGUCUUUCCUCCAAGCUAUACAUGUUAAGAUCCUUUAACCUUUCCUGGUAAGUUUUAUCCCGCAAUCCAUGAACCAGUUUAGUAGCCCUUCUCUGAACCCUCUCUAAGGUAUCAAUAUCCUUCUGAAGAUACGGUCUCCAGUACUGUGUACAAUACUCCAAGUGAGGUCUCACCAGUGUUCUGUACAAUGGCAUGAGCACUUCCCUCUUUCUACUGCUAAUACCUCUCCCUAUACAACCAAGCAUUCUGCUAGCAUUUCCUGCUGCUCUAUUACAUUGUCUGCCUACCUUUAAGUCAUCAGAAAUAAUCACCCCUAAAUCCCUUUCCUCAUAUGUUGAGGUUAGGACUCUAUCAAAUAUUCUGUACUCUGCCCUUGGGUUUUUACGUCCAAGAUGCAUUAUCUUGCACUUAUCCACAUUAAAUGUCAGUUGCCACAAUUCUGACCAUUUUUCUAGUUUACCUAAAUCAUUUGUCAUUUGGCUUAUCCCUCCUGGAACAUCAACCCUGUUACAUAUCUUAGUAUCAUCAGCAAAAAGACAUACCUUACCAUCAAGACCUUCUGCAAUAUCACUAAUAAAAAUUACUGUAUAGGAGGCUGUGUCCUACACUGCCUUGCAGCUUUACAUGACAGGAAUUCCACAAAUAUGUGAUCCAGUCUGGACAGUGAAGUUGCAAUGGAAGUCAUGCUCAAGUCUUCAGCCUCGCCCUACCCCAUCUUGGAAGCCACGUGGGCCUGUUAGAACGGGAUGUGUCUGGCAGCAUCAGACGGACUCCUGGGACCAAGAUAACCAGCACUGGUCCAACAGGGAGGUGAAGCAGAUAUACUGUAUCUGAUCUACUGGAUAAGGCGCCUGGAGAGCAUCCAUCUCUUCCACCCCAACCCCGUUAUUAGGCUGCAAGAAUCUCAAUCUGAGCAAGCCGGGUGAGGAAGGUAGUAAAUAUAGAAUCUUACGAUUCACUGAGGUAUCCCCGUGCAGGUAAGUGCUGUUUUGUGACAUGAUUAGCAGGCUGACUGGAAUUAUUAAGCACACUCUCCACAGUCUACAACAUCAUAAUGUAGAAGUUUGGGCGAAUAGAUGCCUAUCUCACUUGGACAAUGCAAAAUAUUGCUGUUUCUGAGAAAUUUCAAUGUUUCUAUUUCUCUAAAAACACACUUCUGGUGGCUUUCAAACCUAUAUUUUUCAAGUUCUUCAUACUCAGUGCCAUCACGCACAGCAUGAUAACUAUAAACAUUGCUAAAGUUUAUCAUAAUAGUGGGAUGCUACGCAUGUGGCCUAUGUCCACCAAUAAUUUGGACAGUGAUCAAUAAUCCUGAUGAUUUCAAAGAAGGUGAAAUUUUAUAGAUUUUUUUUUAUUAUUAUAAAAAUUAAAUUAUUAUAUAGAAACUGAAUCCAAAGAGUCAACACUCUAACGUUAAAAUUAAAUUUAUUUGUUUCUGACAUUGGAGUCAUUCUUUAACUUGAUUGCUAACAUACACACUAUAGGACAUCCUGGCUAAACUUGGAGAACAUAGAUGGUUGCAGAGUAAUUUAGCAAUUUAUUAACUUUGCCAAUAUUUUCAUUGCUUGUGACCUGCAGCACAGAGAGAAGACAAGCUAACAUUUAGUAAUAGGAGCUGAGAUAAUUAACGCUUUUAAAAGAUGAGUCAGCUUCAUUUUAGCUGUAUGUAUAACACUGCGAAAAAUACUUUCAGGUAAUCUGAAGGAACCCUAUAGAUCCAGGACUACAGACAUGUAUUCCUAACACUAUAAUGCUGUAAUACAUGGUUAACACCCCCCCCCCCCCUACCGUGGAGAUGAAAGGUCUUUCAACUUAUUUUUUUCUCCCACACCAUGCUGGUCUCGCCUUGGCUGGCCCCCUCUGGCUCUGCCUCCAUGCACUGCAAAAUGCCACACUACGCCAAUCAACCUAUCUCCUCAUAGAGAUGCGUGGAAUCCAGGUAGAGCGUGGAGACGCUGAAUGUAGGUGCGGCACACAGUGAGAUAGGAAGCACCUUUAGUAGAAGUCUGAAUGACUGUCACUAGAGGCAGCAAUGUAAACACUGCCUUUUCUUUGAAAAGGCAGUAUUUUCAUUAAAAAGCCUGCAGGGAUAUGCUAUAGACAACAGAACAACUACAUUAAGCUGUAGUUGUUCUGGUGACUAUAAUCUCCCUUUAAUAAACAGCAGAUCUAAAACACAUUCUCUCAGCUUAGAAUACAGGAUAUUUACAUACAGCCUGCAAAAAUGAUUUGCGAUCAUAAAUAAUUACUUCAUUUUUUCUGGUGAUGCUAAGACAGAGUUUGCACAACAGUUUGAGACUGGCAUGACUGGUAAACUGCAAACAGGGAAACAUCUUCAGAAAAUACUAUUCUUUUUAAUGUAACCCUUAGGAGCACAUUUCCAUAAUUGACACUAGUUGCCAGGUUUUGACAUUUUUCAUUGGCUGAAAUAGUCAUUUGAUGGCUCUGAGCUAAUGAAUAAUGUCGAAACAUGGUAUGAGGUAGUAUGAUAUUGUGGCAUAUAAAUUCAGACCGGUAGGACCGCAGUCAUCCUGACACAAGAUAUGUCAAACUGUUUGUAAAUGGUUUCAGUGAUUACCAUCAGACUGCCCCCAGGAAUUCUUGGCACCAUAACCACUACUAAGCACUGUAGUCGUUAUGCCACAUUGUUACAUUGAUUUAUUGGUUAUCCUAAUUUGUCACCAUUUGGAUUUGAUUUUUGCAAAAUAUUCAUCUUUUUAGGUAAAGUAAAGCAGAAGAUAAUAAUCAACUGCUAUAAUUAGUCUUGCAAUGAUUACACAGUUUAAUCUUCCCAGUAGUUAAUAUUUGUGACUGUCGCUGCGUUAAACCCUUUAAUGGAUAAUUGGUGAGAGCACAGCACAAGUUACAAUAGCUGAAGUAUAUUUGGAAUGUUGAAAUCAGAUAGCACGUUCUUUAAAUACUCAAGAUUGCUCAGAAUGCCAGUCAAUAGCCUAUUAUGUGCAAAUUAACAUUUAUUUUUAUCACAACAUUAAUUUUAUUUUUCAAAACAGGGGUACAAUUGAUGUAUAUCUGAAUAUUCGUUUUUUGUCAUUGAUUAUGGUUUUUGUUUUUUUCCUGUAAAUCAACUAAUCUGCUGAUUCUCUGACUUCCCUUACACAGAAUCAAACAAUUCAGUUUGAGAUUUCCCCAUCUAAAAUUAAUCUACAGUUAUCUUAAAUGGGCCAGUCUCCAAUGUUAUGUCAAUUAAACAAUUUUUUUUUCAUGUAGAAACAAUUUUAUAUUUUUUAAAUCGUUUUUAUAGAUUAAAUGAUAUACCAUUUUGGAUUAUAGACUAGAUGGUCUUUAAUACUCUUCCUAAACCAGUCAGUAGUACACAGGAUAUCCAUAAAGGGUACACAGGGUUACCAAACACAUUAAAAUAACUACUGAGAAAAAAUCUCGAGGAACGUAACAUGCUUUAUCAUGACAUAUGUAUAAACUAAAAUAACGCUCUGUUAUUGUCUUGGUUCUUUGCAAAGACCCCCGAUGGUGAGUGUUCCACUUGGUGCCCUGUGGCAGCACGGUGCAGGGGCAUAAAUCUUAUAUGUUCCUCUCCAAUCCUUGUUCAGUCAUUUUAUAAUUGAUGAGUCCUGAACACUCACAUCACUCAGGGUGAGAAUUGCCUGUAGUUCUUUGUCUGUUUUCUGGGUUCUUUAAUAGUUGAUGAAACAAUGGAUGUCACAGCACUGUCUUUAUAUAUGCCCACAGUCAACAUCUAACUAUACGUCUGUGUGUGCCAAUGCAUACAUACUUUUUGGAGCCACUGUGUUUAUGCAAUUAAUGAUGCCAUUCGGUUGGGCUUCUGAUACACUCUGCCCCAGCACUUUGAUGCACUUUCCUGAGUUUUGUAGAAAUCUGUGCAUUAUAAUAAUGCUUGGCGAUAUUGUUUGUUAUGUAUAAUUUAUCAUUGACCUUGUUGACCUUGACCUUGUUCUCUCUACUCUUGGCUAGCAUUUACUUGUUGUUGCUUUCAGUUACCCUUGGCUAUUGGCUUGCCCAGACUAUGAUUUUUUUUCUUUUCGCUUAUUCUACUAUUUAGGAAAGGACCAAUAAUACGCCUUCAAUUAUGGUCUACCUAUCCUUUUCCUAUGUUAGUGGAUAGAAUUAUGCUUUGUUUAUUGGAUCCACAGUAGUUUUGAAAAUAAUGGGUUGUAUGAAACUAAUAAUUGUAUCCAUAAUUUUAUUAAGUUCACAAAUAGGGUUAAUUAUACACUAUAUUAGGUGUUUAGACAAGGGCUGAUUCUGAUUAUCAUUAUUAACCCAACAUUUUCUCACUAUUGUAAAGAAAAGCAUUUGCCCAUUGUGAUGGUAGUAAUCUGUAUCACCAUCAAGCAUUCCCGUCUUCCCAUAAAAGAAAAUCACCAAGUAAUCCACAGGAAUAAAUAUCGCUGGUAUCUCCAAAUAAUCCACACAUGAGCCAAAGCUUAAUGCUGGAACAAGACUGAUUUUAAUGACACACACUCUGCUUUUAUGCAAGUCCCCAUGCAAGGGGACACAGUACAACCAAUCAUUUACAGGAAAACCAUAAAACACACCCAGCCCCAACAUACAAUCCUUCCCCUCUGCCUGUGAUAUAAUUACUGAACACAAUGGGUUAAUGUAAUUUAUCACAGGCAGGAAAAAUACACUUUUUAUACAUAUACUGUAACUUUAAAAAUAUGCAUCAUGUUCACAUAAAACAUACAUAUUCAGAAUCAGCAUACUUUAAAUAUAAACAUAGCCGAAAAUCAUACAAAUCCCCCUAGUAGAUAAAAAGUUAGCUGGGAGUCCUUUAUGACCGACCGCAAGUACAUUUUCCUACCCAAAACAGUUCCAUAGAUUUGGGCUGUGCGGUCGGUCUAUUUUACACAGAAAAAUGACCAAGUCCCAUUCGAAUACACAAACAGGGCCGUUCGUGCAUUUAGCUUAGUAUAGCAGUGAGUUCAAACUGCCGAAUGGGUCUCUGCAGCUGAAAACGGAGUGUAGGAGAAGGUAAGGGUCAGCGGUGUUUGUUGAAAUGUGUAGCGGAUUUCAGUUCCAUGGAUUUGGCUACACAUACCGCUGACCUCAUUCGAAUGAACAAAGAUGGCCGCCGCCACGUGUUCGUUUGUCGAAUGGCGGCCACUUCGACUACUUUGGCACUUCGGCUGCAUCCGAAGUGCCAAUUUAAAGCUCCAAUACAAUUUAAAGGGGCAGCAAGUCUUUUAAAAUCCAAUCUGCUAAAAUGAUCUUCACCAGGCAAUAUCUUCCAGGGGCCAUAGUCUUAAAGGGGCAUUGUUCCCAAAAGUCACAGUAUGUCCCCAGAUGGUUCUUAAAGGGCCAGCAGCAGCACAACAAAAAUCCAUUAUGCCCAAAUCUUGUAUUUAAAGGGCCAAACCUCCCAGGGACCAUAAUCACAUGGCUAGAGGCUGGCAAGCCGUCCUCUCCAGGCACAAGUGGCGAGGUUAAUUUCGCCACACCCAUGUUUCUGCAUAUUCUAUUGGACAAAGCAUCAUAAAUUCUUGUGAAUUUCUGGGAGUUUUUUUAAAGAAAUUGGAGAUGUACAAGCCACGUGAUAAAAAGGGGUUGCCACCUGGAAUGUCAUGCCUCAAUUGUCAGCUUUGGUUAAUAAACUUCAGAGUAGAUUCCAUAAGGUUCAUAUUCUAAUUCCUCUGCCUUGUGUGCAGGAAACAUGUACUCCCUGCUAUCUGUAAAACCCCCUUCCUCCCUUCUGGUGCCUCUUCAUGUUCCCCAAAGGCUAUUGCUUGGUCCAGGUCCCACAGAUGUACCCCCACGAAUCCGGAUUGCUGGGGCUCAACCAAUGCUUAGUCCACUGAACCCAGACAUGAUACAGGUAAGGAUUUACUUAGUAAGAGAUUCCCAAAAAUAAACAAAACAAAGUACAAGAUACAGGACUGGUGUCCUAGGUGAGAUCGUAUGAGAUACAGAUCUGUGACUAUGCUCGGAUGGUAUCUGCUAUCCUGAUAUAUUCUAAAUUGUUUCAUAGAUACACUAUUUAAUUAAAUGGUUAGUGCAUUGGGAAUAAAUGUGAAUCCAGUAGUCUGUAAGAGGUAGCCAGCACUUUCUCUCACUCAAUUUCUUCCAUCCAUAUUUACUUCUGCAUCAUUGUUAUAGUGCUUUGUACACACAGGUACACUUUCUUUUAUGUAAAAAAAUAUAAUUGAUCUACACAAGGCACUUUUCUUUCUUGCUUUAUAUAGAAGCACUCUGGGUUUUUUCUCUACUUUGUAUAACACCAGAUUGAUGCAGAGAACAGAAAGAAUCUCCAGACACUCACAGAAUUCAAGCCACGGGCAGGUUUAUUGGAUCAAAAAGGCAAAGCAACGUUUCGACCUGCUGAGAGAUCUUUAUCAACCAGAUUAAUGCAGGGCAUUAAUCCUAUUCGAGCCCACGGCUUGCAUGCUAUAUUACUGUUAUUGGUUUUCCUGGUAUUUUAACCCAGGCUAGUUUUGACUAUUUUACAAUUCAAUAUCCAUAACCUGGCUAGCUUUGACUACUCUGUUUUCUGUUAUCCUGACCUGGCAAGUCAUUCUGGACUGAGUUUAUAUUAGCUUUUAGUUGCUAAAAAAAAAAUUAUUCCAUCAUGGAUUAAACCUGACUAUUCUAAAGUUUGGUAAAACACCUAACGAUCAUCAUACUUUUAUCCUUUGGCAGAAUACUAACCUAUACUUUGCUGAGGAUCAAAUGUAACCAUGGCAGAAGAGUGGUGAUGAGCUUUGGCACAGACCAUCCUCUUCAAAAAUAUUAAGGAGAUCACAAUGUGCUUCAUUUUGCUAAAUAACUAAAUGCCCCAAAGUCAAUUCACCGUGUUCUGUCUUUGCCUACAGAUAAUGGAUGACAUUAAGAAGGGGAUACAGUAUGCAUUCCAGACCCAGAACCCCCUGACCAUAGCAUUGAGUGGCUCUGGUCACUGUGCUAUGGAGGCAGCGCUUUUUAACGUGGUGGAGAAAGGAGACGUGGUGCUUAUUGCAGUAAAAGGAAUUUGGGGAGAGCGAGCAGCUGACAUUGCAGAGAGGAUAGGUAAGAAAAUGAUAUGGAUCGGAUCAGCUUAACUCACAUUUAAAACAUGAUUUUGCAAACUCUGUAACCAGCAGCCAUUCCUAAAUUCCCUACAUUUAUGCUGUUAGAAUAUUUAAAAAUACUUUUUAUAAUCUGUGAUUGGCUGAAAAUGUAUAUUAUCAAUAGGGCAUUGUACAUAUGUGAUUGGCUGAUAUAUAUUAAGGGAUUACUGCUCAUCUGUUAUUGGUAGAAUAAUAUUAAUAAUAAUAAUAAUAAUAAUAAUAAUAAUAAUAAUAGAAUAAACUUCAUCUGUGACUGGUAGAAAAAUAUUAUUAUUAUUAUUAUUAUAACAACAGGACAGCCUUCUUCCAUGUCAGAAACAUAAUAUUAUAACAGGGUAGUCUGAUUAUGUGAUUGGCAGAAACAUUGUCUUUAUAGCCAUCUAAUAUUCCUCUAAGAUCGGCAGAAACAUUGCAUUAAUUAAAGGACAGCUUUCCUGUGUGAUUGACAGAAACCAAAUUGAUAACAUGGUCUUUUUAUAACGUGAUCAGUAGUAACAUUAUAUUAAAAUUAGGGUAGUUUUAUAAUGUGGUUGGUAGAAUAUUAUAUUAAUAAAAGGUAAACUUUAUCUGUGAGUUAAAUUCUUCAGGAGAUUGCUUUAAAGUCUUGUUUUUUAUUUCACGCCCCAUGUUUUUUAAUAUUAUUUUUACUUUUCCCUAUAUUUGACAAAAAUGUAUUUCAUAUUUGUAAAAAAAAUAAUCCAGUUCAUUCCAGGCAUUGCAAGGGCACACAUUGCAAAUAAGAAGGAGAAACAGACACAAUGUUUCAUUUCUCCCCUUCUCCGUAUGCUUUCUCUACCUGACUGCCAGGACAGAGAUCUAAGAUGGAGGCCCCCAGGUGCAGAAUAAAUGUGUAUGAAUUUCUACAUUCAAUUUUAAGCAAACAUAAUGUUUAAAAUAUUAGGAAGUGACAUUAAUCUUUAAUUACAUUAAAUAGUACAUUGCACAUAUCAUUAUAUGACAUUUCUUUAUAGUAAAAAUGGAGGGGCUUUUUGGUGAAAAAAAAAUAAAUUUGACUAAAUGUAUAUAUUUAUUUACUAAACAGUGAGCUGUGAUGAGUAGGUAUGUUUCAAAAUGUUAACCAUUCCCUGAGUGAGACAUUUCACUUCAAUUUGGCUACUCUAGUCUAUACAACUCAGAGUUUAUCGUUAAAUCCCACAGUUUGGCAUGUCUGAAGGUCUUAAAAAUAGCUGAAGUUGUGCUAUGUUCUAUGUCAUUAGUUAAUCAUUUUCCUGCUUUUUGAGAUUUACACCUGGUCUGAUCCCAGAUCUUCUUACAAAAGUCAUUGUUUAACCCUUAGCUGCAAAUCCAACUAAGCAGAUUGCAUUUCUACUGUGUGCAAUACUCUAAAACAUACAGUAGAAUGGGACACAGGUCGGUAAAAAGGGUUGAUACUGUUGUUUGCUCCUGCAGGAAUUUGUUGAGUAGAUGAUGAUGGUUUUCAUGUCAAAAUAUUAAUGGGACGGAGGGAUCAAAACAAUCCAUCUCAUAAGUACUACCUAUUUGUGAAUUUAAUGGCAGACUUAGAGAAUUCUCAAUUUGUGAAUUAAAUGGAAGAUUUGGUGAAUCCAAACCCUCCAAAGGACUGGAAAGUCAGGAAUAAUUUUGUAUUUUAAUGCUUUUUAUAUCCAAAUGGCCAUUUUAUGUGUGUUAUGGUUAAUUGGUAAUUGAAGCCUUGAAUAUUAAUAUUGUUGAUUAAGCUUUUCAAAUUAUUUAAUAUUUUUGGAUAAAUUAAUAUAGUUGCAUACGCUUUUCAAAUGAUUUAAUAUUUUGGGAUAAAGGUUUACUUUUUUUUUCUAAAUAUUAAAAUAUAAAAAUAAACAUGUCAUAUAUAAAAUUAUUCAUGGCGGCAUUUACUCAUGGGUUAGUUCCUCCCCUCACAGCAGAAAGGACAGGAAAUAGAACUUUGAAACUGGUAUAAAAAGAUCCUCCCCCUUCCCAUCAGGCAGUCUUUGUAACUAGCUUCACAACUCCUAUAGUAAAUGGGUGGGAACGUAAUGCUGCCAUGAAUAAUAAUCAGGAAAAGAAAAUUACGGUAAGUAUGAAGCAAAUUUUCCAUUUUCCUGACCAUUAUUCAUGGCAGCAUUUACUCAUGGGGAAUACCCAAGCAUUAUAUAUAGAGGGAGGGACAGAGUUCAAAAACAGCUAAUACCUAAAAAACCAUUGUUGAGCUGUAUAAAUCUUAAAAGACUUUACAAAGCCAAACAAGAAUCAAUAGGAAAUUGUAAUAAAAUCUGCUCAGACAAGACUGCCUGAUGGGAAGGGGGAGGAUCUAUUUAUACCAGUUUCAAAGUUCUAUUUCCUGUCCUUUCUGCUGUGAGGGGAGGAGCUAACCCAUGAGUAAAUGCUGCCAUGAAUAAUGGUCAGGAAAUAAUUGUAAACAUUUAUCCAAAGUAUGAAAUCAUUUGAAAUGCUAAAUCAAAAAUAUUAAGCUGGGGCCUUAAUUUGGACAGAAAAAAACAAUAAAUAUCUACUAUCAAGACUUAAGAAGCACUGAUUACACACUUUUAAAGUUGUUUUUCUUUUCUUAUUUUGUUAGUUUACAUGGUUCCCCUUCAAAACAUCUAUCAGAGGAGGAUUGGAUGUUUAGUGGUUUCCUUACUGUGUGUUGUUAAAAGGUAUUAAGACCUUAGAGCAGUGCAUCACUUGCUCCACUUAAAUUUGAGCUAGGAAACUUAGGGAACCCAUAGCCAAUUUAUUGCAUCAUUAACCUCUGCCCUACCAGCUCAGAAGAAAGGAAGGAGUAGACGACACUUUUCAGAUCCCUAUCCAGUUAUCCCUCCUAACCUACUGCACAAAGUAGAAUUAGAAGAGUGGGCAUUUACGACCCAAACACAAUAGUGGGAUCUUGAUAACCAAGUUCUUAAAAUUUUCUAUUUAAAGGACUACUAUAGUCACCCACACCACUUCAGCUCAAUUAAGUGGUCUGGAUGCCAGGUCCCCAAAGUUUUAACCCUGCAGCUGUAAACAUAGCAGUUUCAUAGAAACUGCUAUGUUUACAUUGCAGGGUUAAUCCAGCCUCUAGUGGCUGUCUUCCUGACAGCCGCUAGAGGCACUUCCGCAACGCUCAAUGUGAAAAUCGCAUUGAGCACGCAGAAUAGUAAUGCUUUCCUAUGGGCGCUUUGAAUGCGCGUGCGGCUCUGGCCGCACAUGCACAUUCAGCUCCACUCAGGAGCUUACGUCGGAGGGGGUGGAAAGGUCACCAGUGCUGAGGGAGCCUGGCGCUGGAUUAAGCUAAGUGGCUGAAGGGGUUUUAAACCCUUCAGCCCAGUGGGAGGGGGCCCUGAGGGUGGGGGGGACCUAAGGACUAUAUAGUGCCAGAAAAACGAGUUUGUUUUCCUGGCACUAUAGUGGUCCUUUAAAUAGCAGCAUUAUAGCCACAAGCCGUUACAAUGUUUUUCAAGCCAUAACUCGCAGCAUCCUCCAAGUUUUUUCCCAGUGUCAGGCCAAGUUAGAUGCUUCACUGGGGAACAAAAAAGCACAAGUCAAAACUGAUGAGUUACACAUGGAAGUCAUCCUUGCUUGCAAACAAGACAGAGAUUUUCAAAAUAAUAAUAACUUUCCAAAAUAAAAUAAUGAACCUAUAAAAUGAAAACAAUGUUAUAUUUAUUAAUUUACACAUUAAAAAUGUAUUAUCAGUAAGAAACUUCAACUCUUGAUAUGUUUUUAAAAAAAUAACAAAAAGAGAAAACAAAAGGUCUACCCAAUUGGAUAAAAGUCUUUGAAAAGAUGACUUCCUUACAUGUUUCCUUACACAAUGAGUAGGUGCAGGGUAGAAAAGAAGGCAUCUAGAAUCGUUUUCAAUUAGGGCUUCUUUUUUUUUUUUUUGCAAGGUCUAUUUAUUUAUUGUUAAAAUUCAUUUACUGACUAAAUUACUUGUAAUUUGUGUAUAAUGUAUAGCCUAAUUUGUAUUAAUUUUAAUGCAGUUUUUACUUUUUCUGUCUCUCAGGUGCUAAGGUGCAUCUCUUGUCAAAACCACCAGGUGAAGCCUUCACGUUGAAGGAUGUAGAAAAGGUGAUCAGGGUUUUACAAUACCAUGCACUAUGUAACAAAAUCCUCUAAAAGAAGUGCAGAAUUUAUAAGAAUUGAUUGACCCUUUUGCUCUUGUGUGGAAUAGAACAAGCUAUAGUCAUUCCUUUGUUUGGUAAAUUCCAAAUACAAAGAUGUUCGAGAGAUUAAAAUUUCUGUUAAAUAAGCUGCUCAUUAACAAUAUAAAUGAUUAAUAAUAAUUCUAGCUUCCUGUUAAUUGUAAGAUUAAUUGUAUUUAAAGUUAGUCUAGUUCAUUGAAUUUGCAUAUAAAUAACCAUACAUUAUACACUAUUAUACUAUAGCUGACUGUAGAGUAACCUUGAACAGUAAAUUGGCUUCUGAUUUCAGUUCCACUUUUUCAUCUUUUUUUUCUGUCUUCUUCGUUCUAGGGAUUAGCUGAACAUAAACCUACUCUAUUAUUCAUUACGCAUGGAGAGUCAUCAAGUGGCGUGGUGCAACCAUUGGACGGCUUUGGAGAAUUGUGUCAUAGGUACUGGUCAGAAAGUCCAAGAAAAGCACAUUUAAUAUACAUUUUAUACGAUUAUUUUAUCAAAGAUAUAAAUUAUUUCUCUAAACUAUAUUUUAUAUAUUAAAGUAUUCUCACUGCAUACAGAAUUUGCAUGGAAUUUCUAGUAGCAAAUGACACAAAAAUUAUUCCAAGCAAUGUCAAUUCAGAGGAAUGAUUUAAGAUGAAAUUCUCAAAAUUUACCACAAUCUAAACUGAUGCAACUGAAUUAAGAAUGCUUUUGAAUUAGCCCCUAAAUUGGGUUACAUGGCCAAUAAGCAGUGCAGAAAGUUGUCUGACUAGCUCUAGAAUAGUCAGUCUUAUCAAUAGCUUAACAGGUGAACUAUUUAAUUAUCUUAGUUUGCAGUAAAAAAAGCAGAUGACUUGAAAUCUUUAAAUCUGAAACCAAAUUCACUUAUUCCGCACAAAUGUUGAGUUUUAUUAAUGGAUGAAUUUAUUCUGCACUGAAUUGAGAUUUUGCUCUUAACCUGAUUUGACCAUUCUGGGCAAAUCUUCAAAUGUGCAUCUGAAUUGUGUUUGUUAAAUACCCGUUUUUGUGAUACACAUUGUGAACCUAGUAAAUAACCCCAUUAAUACUAAUCCAUGGAGAAAUUAUAUCAAGGUGACUUUUGGAAAUGCAUCUAAGUGUAACUUUCUUCCCCAGAUAUAACUGUCUACUUCUUGUAGACUCCGUGGCAUCUUUAGGAGGAGCUCCCCUUUACAUGGACAAACAGGGCAAGUGCUUAAUGCUUUGAUUGAUUAAAGUUUUCUUAUACUACAGGGCCGUUGAAUGCUUCAAUCUGAUUGGUUGACGAAUGUUCUAAGGUGUGCAUUAUUUUCAGGGAGACGCACGGCUAUAGUAGUUCCAGACAGGUCUUGACCGCAUUACAGUUGCGUAAGAAAUUAGUCCUACAUACAAGAGCGUUUUAAUGACAAAAACUUCACAAAUGUCUUGAAAUACAUCAUCUGAACAAUGUUUCGAGGUGUGGUAACUGUAGUAUAAGCGGAAUAAUUGAAUCCAGGCCAUUGAAGUAUUAGAAAAAAAUAGUGCACACCCUCGGGGGUGCAUUAUUUUUCUAAUAAUUCAACGGCCUGUCGUCUAUUUGUAGCAGAACCCCUUUUUGGCUGUCUCAUUCCUUUCAUUUAUUGUUGGCACUGCAGAGAUUUUCCUGUGCCUGGGGUACACAAAAUUCCAUGUAACUAGAUGUUGCCAUACUUUGUUCGGUAUGAGAAUACCAGCUUACAUGUGAACGACUAAAUUCACCUUACGAACAAAGUACCGAAUGAACCGGACCACCCUGAUGUGAAGAAUGGAUAUAAUUUACCUCCCUGAUUGAUUUUCAUAUUCCCUUGUACGCACGAACACGCCGCUAUAAUCCCUGGGUGAUCGCCAUUUCGGCAGCCGAACACGUUGCGGCAGCCAUUUUAAAUCCGCGAACAGCGGUGUUUGGUCGUCGAGUGUCUGGAACUCAAAACAGACACUCGACUAGCCGAACACCGCUAAGACCUCCAGGGCUUCAGAAUACACUGAUGGAAACCCACGAACGGCCCGGCGUUCGGUAGGAUGAAUCCCACGAACUAGGGGAUUCAUCCGGUUACCGAAUGCACUAUGGAUGGUAUAGCAGUUCGGGGUUUUUGGGGCACGAAUGGAGACCGACCGCAGGGCCAGAUUUCAUGGAACUAUUUUCGGCUACUUUACCCAUGCGGUCGGUCAAAACUUUACCUUCCCAUAACUCCCAAACCCCUGGUCUGAUCUGGGUGAUUUUUGGAUAUGUUUCUCACCCUGCUCAGGGCUACCGGGGGUACCAUAUUUAAGGGUAUAUUCCACCUAUUUGGGGUACAUCUGAAAAGUGGGGAAAAGUAUGCCUUGUAUAAUUGUCUAUGGAUUUAGUUACUGUACUAAUUGUGGUGAAUCCCUCCCUUGCGUGGGAGAAUCUCAUAAAAGCAAGAAUGUUGCCAUUAAAAGUUAGUUCUACUCCUGAUACUGUGUGUCGUCCAGUGAUUGGGAAAGGUGAUGGGAUAUUAUUGGAUUGUAUUGCUGAUUGUGCUGGAUAUUCUCUUGGAUUUACUACUUGCUCCUGCAUCCUCUUAAUAUAUUGGUGGAGUUUAGCUGUGGGAAAUCAGCUCUCUGCUACACUAUUAUUCCUUACAUAGACACUUUUGGUUUUAAAUGUUCUUAACAGCAGCUGAAAUCUUCACUCAUCUUUGGUAUGGAGUUUCAAUUUCAAUCAUUUGUAAUGGUAAAAAGAAAAGCAAUAGGUCUCAUAAAGGGAUAACUUCUUUAAAAGAGGGGCCUAACCCUUGUAAGUAUAUAUGCAAGAAAAGUACCUUUAUAAUGGACAAAUUUUUUUUAUUUUUUUUUUAAAUUGGAGAAUCCCUUAAUGUUGGAAGCAUUAGAUGAAUAGUGAAUGGUAGAUCUGUGCUUUAAAAUAAUGAAUUUAAAAUAGAGUGAAAGUAAACCAAACCCCUAUGUUAGAAUAAAUCACUUUAGUAAUAUCUGAGUAAUACGAUAUGAAAGGGAAUGGGAAUUGUUUAAAAGGCAACUUAAACACUUCCAAUAAAAUAUUAUUGGGAAAAUUCCUUUAUUGUAUGCAUUGGAUAUAUUUAAGGUGGCAUGUCUAGUAAAUAUCUACUAAGUAUCAUAACCAGGGAGUAAACAUUUCAAAAAGGUGGAACUAUUGAAUCCUAAUAAUGAGUAUAAAUUGGACUAUAGAACCAAAUUCUGGCCUCAUAAACAUUGUAACAAAAAAGGGAUAGUAAAAUUCAUAAGGUAACAAAGGGGGAGAGUUAUAAAACAAUGGAGUCUAAGAUAGUAUACUAAAUAAAUAGAAAAAGGAAGGAAAACAAGUAUAAAACCUGCAUGUAAGCUUCCUAUAUGUAUGGAUACCUCAAAUAUGUUGGAUAUCACUUGCAAAACAAUUCCUGAUUAUAAUGCAUAAAUUAUAAUAAAAAUUCCUGGUUAUAAUGCAUAAAUUAUAAUAAAAAUUCCUGAGUUACAGUGGGAAGUCAUUCAUGUUAUGACCUAUGUUAAUACAGUAACAUAUUAAUGGGGUUAUGACACAUAAUAAAUUAUAAAAUAUCAUGUCCUAGAGCAGGGGUAGGCAAACUUCGGCACUCCAGAUGUUGUGGAGUACGUCUCCCUUGAUUCUUUGCCUGCAUUAUUCAUUAUGUAAGAGCCAAUGGGAGAUGCAGUCCACAACAUCUGGAGUGCCAAAGGUUGCCUAGCCCUGUCCUAGAGGAGCUAAUGGUUCACCUAUGAGACGCUUAGGUCUGUAGACCCAAGGGUACUUUACACAUAGUAUAGUAUGGCUCAGAAGGAGAUGGGGCAUCAGUCAUGGGGAGUUAGAAGUUAAGAAAGUAAAGGUCGGGCCAGAGCUUAACAGCCAAGCUGAGCGGUCGCACAUCGGACGAGCUCCAUGCUAAAACAGCCUAAAUUCAGCCAAAAGCACCACAAAUAGCCUUGAUAUUGCUUGCUUUUAAGCCCCAGAGACAGGGGUGUACCACAGCGGCAGUGCACAAUCGAGUUCUCGACUGAAAAUGGCAACUAUGUCCAGGGGAUGGACCUGAGGCCUACAGACGGCCUACUCAGAUGGCACGAGGGAGGCGGCCGAUUCCUCCACCGACUUCAGCCUAUUCAAUUGGAGGUCUCCCCGGCAUACUUUCUCCCCCUUCACUCCCCGCUGGUGAGGGAUAUCCCGGUAAACACAGCCCGCAGUUCAAAAAUACAGCAUCACACUUGGCCUACCUGCACCGCUUGACCAGCGAUCCAUAACAUGGUGGACGCCACUUGCAAGCCAGCACCCAGAUCCCCACUGUCCUCACUUUGGGAACGGCUAGACUGCCUGCUAGCCGACUUCUGGGCCAGGCUCUCUGACCACAGGGGCACUCCAGGAGAUGUCCCACUGGCAAUAACCCCACGGGACAGCACACCGAAGCUCCAGGACAGGGCCAAGGUGAAAUUUGGAUAGCUGGGAGGAGGAGGCAGGCGAUCCGACGAAAACCUCAGCAAGUCAGCCUCAGAAUAGCGGUGAGUCGCUUAACGCCUAAACAGCGACAUACCCCCUCAAAACCCUCUCUCUUCAGGGAGAUCACUGCCCCACCUGGGUGACGGCAUCAUGCCGGACUACCCCCUCAAAACCACUCUCUCCUCAGGGAGAUUACUGCCCCACCUGGGAGACGGCAUCACGUCGAAGUACCACAAGCUCCUCGGCACGACCAAGCCCUGGACUGCUUCCUUCCUGGGCUAUGGAUCGAUACGGGAUCCCCCCACACUCACCACCUUUACUCAUCUGAAGUCUCCAGCCACCGUAUGAUUCACAAACCUUACACGGGACAACUAGCCCAAGAUCUAUUUGUAAUCAGACAGGGGACUUGUGUUACCAAACGUCGAAAUGUAUCCCGAGUGGGAGCUGGAAGGGCACCGAUUGCGGGGACCCCAACUACUUGCUUGACCGGGCACCAACACUACUGCUGAUGGGGAUCGGUUGAACCUAAAGCUGGACACAAAGCUUAAGUUCUGUGUCAGCAGCCAUGGACGCUGCGCACUAUGCUAUAUACAUUGUGUGCACAUUCAACUUACGCGCGCACCUGAGUUAUUCACUUUGCUAGCAAUUACCAUAUGCUAUAUAAAUAUUAGCCUUAGCUUUGUCCUAUAAAUGCAGAUAUCUAUAAGCAAUCUUCAUUAUGCCUUUCUCUCAAGCAUAUUCUGCAGUUUCAACGUUUUAGUCUUGGAGCUAAUUUUAUGUUAUCUUGUUUUAUCUAAUCUUGUUCCUUACUUUCACGAAUAAGAAGAACAGAAGUAACUCUUUGACAAGCAAUAUUAACUUAUAAAAAUAUGCAGUAUUUUCUAAUGCCUCACAACUGUAAACCUAUGAUUGAAAUAAUGUUUACUCUAGCUGUUGUGGCAUUGUGAGCCUGUGUGUCUUAUCUUUGAACAAAUAAAAUAAAGAAUUAAAACAAAACAAAAAAGUAAGUAAAGGUUGGGGAUGACGGAGGGAGAAGUCAAUCUUACCAACUCUUUCUUACUUUCUAAUUUCCUUCUUUCCUGUACAAUGUCCUGUUUUUUGGUUUAAUCUCCUACAGACAGACCUUGUAUACUGCUCUCUUUACAGAAACUUCCACUGUUAAAUAUUUGAACCAUACAAUUUAAUACAAAAAUGCUGGCAAAAAUGUCAUUUAUCAAGAAACUUGUUUUGGGGUUCGACCACAAUCUGGAUGGAUUAUUCAUAUAAAGAUGAUGGGGGCUGGGGGGAGUAUGUAUGUAACAGUCAUAGGCGUGCGCACGGGGUGUGCCGGGUGUGCCUGGGCACACCCUAAUCCCGCGGCAAGCCUAUGUAUAUUGAGACCGGCAGGGGACAUCUCAGGAUCUCCCCUGUCGGCUCAUGCAGAGCCAUAGCGCCGGCUCUGCUCUCAGCCUCCCUCCCCACCGACCCACAUGCAGGGAGGGAGGCAGGAGAGGACCCGGCGGAGCUAUUGCCGCAGCUCCACCGGGUUCCUCUCGCGAGAUAUGAGCGUUGCCACGGCAACGCUCAAAUCUCGCGAGAGUGAACUCUAGCCCCACAGGGUUUAGAGUUCACUCUCCACUGGACCACCAGGGAUCACAGCAGCAAGGAUCCCCUCCUCCACUGGACCACCAGGACCACGAUCCCCCCUCCCUACAAAAGGUAAGAAGGGAGGGGGGAUAGCAAAUAAUGUACCCCCACCUCCACCCCCCACAAUCACCCACCCACAUACAGCACACACACAUACAGCACCCACACACACACAUACAGCACACACAGACAUACAACACCCAUACACAUACAGCACACCCACAGACAUACACAGCACCCACAGACAUACAACACCCACCCACAUACAGCACACACAGACAAACAACACCCACAGACAAACACCCACAGACAUACAACACCCACAGACAUACAACACCCACACACAUACAGCACCCACAAACAUACAGCACCCACAGACAUACACAGCACCCACAGACAUACACAGCACCCACACACAUACAGCACCCACAGACAUACACAGCACCCACAGACAUACAGCACCCAUACACAUACAGCACACACAGACAUACAACACCCACAGACAUACAACACCCACACACAUACAGCACACACAGACAUACACAGCACCCACAGACAUACAACACCCACACACAUACAGCACACACAGACAAACAACACCCACAGACAUACAACACCCACACACAUACAGCACCCACAAACAUACAGCACCCACAGACAUACACAGCACCCACAGACAUACACAGUACCCACAAACAUACAGCACCCACAGACAUACACAGCACCCACAGACAUACAGCACCCAUACACAUACAGCACCCACAGACAUACAGCACCCACAGACAUACAGCACCCACACACAUACAGCACCCACAGACAUACAGAGCACCCACAGACAUACACAGCACCCACACACAUACAGCACCUACAGACAUACACAGCACCCACACAUACAGCACCCACAGACAUACACAUCACCCACACACAUACAGCACCCAUACACAGCACCCACACACAUACAGCACCCACAGACAUACACAUCACCCACACACAUACAGCACCCACACACAUACAGCACCCACAGACAUACACAGCACCCACACACAUACAGCACCCACACACAUACAGCACCCAUACACAGCACCCUCAGACAUACACAGCACACAAACAGCUCCCUCACACACACACAGCACACUAACAGUACCCUCACAAACACAAACAGGACCCUAACAACACACAGCACACUACCAGUACACUCACAUACAAACAGCACCCUCACACACAGUACAUUAACAGCACCCUCACAAGCGCGCACACACACACAAACAGCACCCUCACACACAGUACAUUAACAGCAUCCUCACAAGCACGCACACACAAACACCCUCACCCACAUAGCACACUACCAGCACCUUCACACACACAUCAAACUAACGGCACCCUCACACAGCACACACACACACACAGCAGUGUGUGUAUGUGUGUAUAUAUGUGUAUGUGUGUGUAUAUAUAUAUAUAUAUAUAUAUAUAUAUAUACAUAUAUGCGGCGUGUGCUUGUGUUUUAGGGUGCACACCCUAAUGCAAUAGGCUGCGCACGCCUAUGGUAACAGUUAAUCAGUUUCUGAGUAUUACACUUCUGCAGGUACUCCAGCAGAAUGGGGAUCUGACUGCACUCGUUUUUAUUGAGCUGCACACUAUUUGGACCUAUUCUUGUUUUUGUAUGAUGCCGCAAUCAGCAAUUGUAUUGUUAAUAUUGCUUUUUUGAUCAAUACGCAAUAAAGAUUUUCACACAGAGACAGCACUGCAAACAAAAUAAAUGAUAAAAUAUUUAAUAGAUGAUAGAUUUUACAAGCCACCAUAAACCUCUACAACAGCACUACACUUGUUUCAGCUUAUUUUUGGUUUUUAUGCCAACAAUCUCAAACUGUUAGAAAAUGAUUUUGCUUUUACUGUAAGAUAGUGCAGGGGACUUGUAUAACUAGUACGGCAUGCCCCCAUGUUUAGAGCAUUUUGUUUUUAAUCUAUUCCAACAAUAAUGGUCUCCGAUCACACUAGAUUUUGAAUUGAUGUGUUGUCCAUACGAUACAUUUGUACUUUGCUGACUAUAGAUUUAUUACCCCCAGGAAUCGACAUCUUGUAUUCUGGAUCUCAAAAGGUCUUGAACGCACCCCCUGGUACCGCACCCAUUUCCUUCAGUGAGGCAGCAACGUAAGUUCUAUAUGCAAUUUAGACUUUAGAGUUUUGUUGGCCAAUGUAUAUACAGUAUGUAUGUAUUUAUUCUGCACAGAGUAUCACCAAGAAAAAAUAUAUUUUUUUCUUUUUUUUAGUAAGAAGAUUUUUAGCCGUAAGACUAAACCACCGUCCCUAUAUGUGGAUAUGAGUUGGCUUUCAAACUACUGGGGAUGUGAUGGGAAACCAAGAAUGUAAGAAUAGCAAUACUUAAUAUAUCAGAAUGAUGGCUAAUUUGUAGAAAUUAACAAAAAUAUACUGUGGACUUUUUGCUGACAAUCACUCUCGGGCGGAAAUUGUGAGAUAUUUUCCUCACUUAUACUAGAAAAUAUAACAUAUCAUGUAAUACAGAUCGGUGUUUAUUCUCUAAACACAGUUACAGUUAUUUAUAUAGCACCAAUUUAUUCCUCAGCUCUUUUUUUGUAAAUAUCAUUUUAUUGAGAUUUUUUCAAAUUUUUUGAAAGAAAGGAUGAAAUGCGGAGAAACGCGCAGGUUUCAGGUAAACAGUAUAACAAUUAGUCAGUCGAGAUUCGCAGAUCUCCUGAGUAACAACUGAGGGAGAGACCCGCAGGUCUCAAGGCAAACUGAGUGUUCAACGUAUAUCAUGAAUAUGUAUUGCAUUGAUUCAUAUUAACAAUUGAAUUGCCCUCCUAACUUGGCCUGUCUAUGUGCUGCUAAUGUGUAUUUCCCUGUCGUUGUCUACUCCCGUGAGUUGGUGUUCCCGUGUUGCAGUCUGCCUAGUGUGGGCGUGAUGAUCCGCCCUGUGUUGGUAUUCUUGCUGCUGUUGCUGAAGUUUGAUCGUUUCAAGGUAGCUGUGAGGGGUACUGGUGUUUCUUUGCCUGACUUGACUCAGGUUUCGUUUGGUAUAGAUUUAGGCCAUGGUGUAGGCAGUUUUUGUGUGGUGGUCGUGUGUGUGUAUCGAGGUGUCUUGGGUCGUGUCGUCAGUGUCCGCCCAUGUAUGGUGUCUUUUCAGUUGCGCACCUGGGGGAUCACAAUCUGUCCUCAGCUGUUAGCGCGUGGGGGGGGGGGCGGUAUGUUCUUCGUGUAGUCCCUUGACUAUCUGGCGGUGUCCGUGGGUCUGUGACGUGUGUGUCCUGUGUGGUCUCAGGACUCUCUAGUCCCUGAUCAUGUGUAUGUUUUCAGAGUCUCAGGGUUGUAUCGUCCAGCUUCCCUGCCUUUGGGUCCCACUUAUUCCUCUGGUGUGUGUAGUUUGCCGGUCCCGUUGGUUCCAAGGUUGCUGUGGCCUUGUUCCCCUGAGUUACGGGUUUGGGGGGGGUCUGUGUGUCCAAGCCCUGGUGUAUCUGUGUAGUGCGUGAUAUUGGUGUGUCUACCCUCCCUCUAAUCAGGUGGGUGAGGACUUGUGGACUUGCCCGCGUCUGUCGGACCGGUGUGUGGGGUUGUGCUACUAUCUCCCCUCCCCCUGGCGAUGAACCCGAGCCACAGCCUCCACCGCUCAGUAUAUUUUUUUCGCUUUGCCCCACGAGGGACGCCCUCACACCCUCCGUGGAGCGGAUCUCCUCCACUCCGUCGUACCAUUGAGUUAGUGUCGGGGUCAGUGGUGUAUCCUGGUUUUGUGCUGCCCUAGGCCUGACAAAACUCAGGCGCGCCACUCCCACCCAACCCUUCCCCCCUGCACCGCCUUCUAAAUACACACACACACAUUCACUGACAGAUACGCAUACACCAGCUAACAGAAACACACACACUAACAGACACACACACUAACAGACACACUCACUAACAGACACACACACUCACAGACACACACACACACACAGUGAGACACACACACACACUCACAGGCAAACACACUCACACUAACAGACACACACACACUAACAGACACACACUCACUCACUAACAGAUACACACACACUAACAGACACACACACACACACACACACACUAACAGACACACACUGACAGACACACACACACACACACACACUAACAGAGACACACACACACACUAACAGACACACACUCACAGGCAAACACACACACACUAACAGACACACACACUAACAGACACACACUAACAGACACACACACUAACAGACACAUACACUAACUCACAUUAACACAUUUUUUUUAUUUACCUUUGGGAAUGCUGGGGGGGGUUCCCUCUCUCCCUGGGGGUGCAGGGGGUCCAGUGGCUGAAAGCCUCACUCUGCGGCAUGCGAGGGAGCUGAGCAUACAGCUCAGAGGAAGAGCUCCCUCGCCAGCCGCCCGCCCGACCAUCAGCCAGUGCCGCCCGCCAGCCCAGCAUGUCAGUUAGCCGCGAGGCUAACAAGGCAUUUUCCCUGUGCAUUUGGGGGGCGGCGUUUUUUGCCGCCCCCUGGAAAAUGCCGCCCAAGGCAAAUGCCUUGUUUGCCUCGUGGCUAAUACGUCCCUGGUCGGAGUCUGUGUUUGUUUCCACAUUGCAGGUAUGAGUGCCUUGGCCGCAUCCAGUAGAUGUCUUAGUAUGGAUUUUUUGUAUUGUGAGAUCGGUCUUGGUGUGGAGUGUAGUAGGAAUUGCCCAAUAUUUAGGGGGAUCGUUUCCCCGAGGAUCUCUGUGAUUUUUUUCGUUGACCAGUCUCCAGAAUGGCUUGAUGUUCGAACAGUAGUGUAGGCAUGAUGGGGUUUUAUAUCACUGGGACAAGAGUUUGUAGUUGACUUCUUGGUACCGGGAGCUCACUGAAGAUUUAUGGUGUAGGAUGAGUAUUUUUCCCCAUUGGUUCAGGGUGAAUUCGCGGUCCGUGAUGUGCUCCCAUUGCCUCUUGAAUGUGAAUGUUUCCGUGCGGUUCUCCGUGAGAGUGUAUUGAUAGAGGUAUGAGGUUGCCUCACUGAGAUUUGUUUUGGUUAGGCAUAGGUUCUCAAAUGGCGUUAAGGCCCUGUGCGCAACCCCUCUGUCGCGGAGUGAGUUGUAGAAGUGUCUCAGUUAGGUGUAUCGGAAAGUCUUCAGAAAGGUCGGGGUGCUGGUGUUGGUAAGUUCAGAGAGUGGUUUUUUACCGGUGUCAUCUAGUACGUCACGGAGGGGUGUAUAUUCUUGAUCUCCUAGUAUUCCCCAGGCUCUGGCAGUGAGGCCUCCCCCUAUUGAGCGGUUGUUGGUAAGCGGGAUCAUUGGGCUUGGGGUUGGAGAGAUGUGGUGGGCCCGCCGCAUGGUGUUCCACGUGUGUAGGGUAUGAGCCAUCGGAGACAUCCUGUCCGGUUCUGUCGGGGUCUUGGUCCCAGCCGUCCAGGCCGCCUCAGGUAUGGGCGUAUUUCCACUGGCCUCCAUCAACGGAAUACACUAUUUAUGGGGUGGGCGUGAGUGCCAUUCCAGUAUGUGUUGCAGCGCGGUGGCCUGGUGGUAUUUUUUCACGUCCAGGAGUGCAAGGCCACCCCAGUGUAGUGGUAGGCACAGAGUGUCAUGUCGUAUCCUGGGUCUUUGGCCCUUCCAUACGUAUUUUAUUAUUGCUGAUCUUAGAGAGGAGAAAUACGCCGCGGGAAUCGUCAUUGGUAGCAUUUGAAAUAAAUAGAGCAGUCGGGGCAGGACAUUCAUUUUUAUUACGGCGAUGUGCCCCAGCCACGAUAUGUGUUGGGAGGUCCAGUUGCACAGGUCUUGCUGUAUCUUGGAGAGGAGCGGUAUAUAAUUUGAUGUGUUUAGGUCGUGCGGGUUCCUGGUGAGCCAGAGUCCGAGAUACUUCAUCUUGGACACGCACCAGUGAAAUUGGAAUUGUGUGUGUAGGCGGUCACUUUCUUUGCUAGGUAUCGUUGAGGACCUUGCAUUUUGAUAGGUUUAGUUUGAGUCCCGAGAUGUGUCUGUAGGUUGUGCAUUCUCUUAGUAGGCAGGGGAGGGAAAUUCUGGGUUGCGAGAUGAAGAAUAGCAUGUCAUCCGCGUAUGCUGCUGUUUUGUGCGUCGUCCCGUUGGAGUGAAAUCCUUUGAUGUCUCCGUUGUUUCGUAUAGCUUCAAGUAGAGGCUCCAGUGUCAGGGCGAAAAUCGCCUCAGCUCUUUUAAUAGUUAAAACAAGACAAACAAUUCUAAGAAAAUAUGUUUGAUUGCUGGAUACAAUGCUUACACACAGCUUACAAUCUAAGCACCAAAUUGUGUAAAAUUAGAAACGGAAAUUGCAAAAUGUAUGCAAAAAUAGCCUGUUUGUGAAAAAAACUCACAACUUGACUACUUUUGCCUAAAUUUUGUCAUUCAAAUUUUGACUCAAUACAAUUUGGUGUUUAGAGAAUAAAGGUUAGUGAAUCAAAAUGUAAAAGUCAGGGUCAUUCUCGGAUUAUUUCUCGUAUUAUUUCCAGGUAACCACGGCUGGUGCGUCCAAUAGCCAAAUUCAGAGGCUAUGUGCUAUAAAAGGCGCUUUAAAUAUAAUAUGAUUAAGUGCAAGUGAAUAUUGCAGCAGCUACCACACAAGUGCAAGAACCAACCCUUACACAAUUGAAUAUAGAAACUAAGUGAUAAAUGAACUAGUUCCAAAAGUUGGCAACUGAAUAGAGUGCGAGUGAUGUCAGGACAAUAGGCAUGGGCGCCAACAAUGUUCAGCUGCACCACACAGUCCCCCGGAAUCAUAGUCUGUAAUUGGUGGAAUCACAAAUGUUGCCACCAAUCAGUAAGUAGACAGUUUUUUUUUUUAAAAGAUCGAAUUACAGCCACGAAAUUACUGAUUGAGAAAGUUGUUACAUACAUCGAAACACAUUUUGGAUACAGACCAAAGAAGUCCACUGGGACUCAUUUCUAAAUCUAUGUUUGUAUAUUAUACUUCUUUUGUUUUUAAUCAGUUUUUUUAGCAGUCAUAAUAAAUUUAAUUGUACAUACAUCAGUUGUCCAGUGGAUCCUGUUCGGCUGUUGCUGGUAAAAGAAAGGUAGUAGCCCCCUUAAAGGCACAUUUCUUCUCUAGCAGCACUGCCUCUCUGUCCAGUAACCUGAGUGGAAGCAGGGUCUGGAUAUGAUGUCAUUAGAUCAUGGCAGAGCUUAGAAUCAGUUAGUAACUGAGGGAAGUAAACCUUUCAGGGAUGUUCAGGUUCAGAGAGGUCAGAAACACUGGUGCUUGCACCAGCGUGAAGGAUGGGUUGUCCAAUAUUGACAUCGGCGCGAUGGCAUGGGAUAUAAGGAAAAUCUCAUCAUACAAUAGGACCACAUGCUAAGGGUUAGAGAGACAAGAGCAUGGUUCCCUGCAGAUUUCACCUGUGGAUGUGGAGGCAGCCAUGGAAGAGCCUAGGGUGAAAGACCCACGGCAUUAGAUUCUAUUUGAAUCCAUCAUUUCUGUGGAGGGGAGAUGGACCAUUCAAUGACGCAUUGAAGGUGGAUAACUUUGUUGUACUGGGAAAUAUCAAUUAAUCCCAGUUCUCCCCCCCACACACUUUUAGGUUGUAUAAGAAUACUAAACUUUAGUCUUGCUUUAGAUUUGUUCCCGACAUAUGAGAUGAAGGUGCUUCAAAAAGAUUUAAAAAAAAAAGGGAUGGUAUUGUUAAAGAUAACGUCUGGUAUAACAUUUGAGGGAGGAUAUUCAUAUUCAUCUUGAGAAAUUGCAUCCUACCUAGCCAUGUUAUUUGUGGCAGAGCCCAGUUCUGAAAGUCUCUAGAAAUCUGUUGUAGGAGUGGCAUAAAGUUAAUAUCAAAUGUUUUUGGACACAGAUAGACAAUGGAGUCCUUAACCCAUUUGAAAGGAAACUUGCUCUAGAGCGAAUGGCAGAGUGAGCUGGUAAUAGAGAGAUUUAAUAUUUCCGAUUAAGUAUUCCUGAUUUUUUAGAUGAAAGCAAAUUGCUCUAAUUGGUGUAAUAGUGCUGGUAAUAGCAUACUGGGUUAGUAAAGGUAAAGAGCAGGUUAUCCGCACAUGCCGCGACUUUAUUUUGUAUGUUAGAGUAUCUGAUGCCUAUGAGCACAUGAUAAGCUCUUACUGCGCUGAGAAAAGGCUCCAGACUUACAGGACGGGGGAUGGGGGGGAGGGAUAAGGCACAUCACUGUAGUGUCCCAUUGCAACUGGUAAAAUUUUUGUCAUAUGGAUUAAAUUAAUAACCCUUAACAAAACCAACCUCAUCUGGAUGGACCAAAGCUGGUAUGAGAGGUUGUAGACGCAGAGCAAGGACCUUGGCAAAACGUUUUAGGUCUGUGUUCAACACUGUGAUGCUCUAAACCAUUAAGCAAGAACCUGCAUUACCCUGCUAAAAUUGUUGGACACAUUACUGUGACAUGUAGAAGGCUGUAGUGGUUAUGGUGCUUUGAGUGAUCCUUUAAACCAGGGGUGUCCAACCUGCGGCCCAGGACCACUGGCAGUGCGGCCCGGUUGCAGUCUGGGUGGCGAGGGCAGCGCUGGACUGGCACGGCACCUGGCAGACAGCUCUAAUCAUUAAAAAAGACAUUUAAAUUAUUUAAAUUAUUUUCCCCUGGGACUGUGACAGCCUGUGUCAGUCUGAGGGGAUUGAAGAUAGAGGUGCUGCAGGCUGCUGCAGCCACGUUUAGUGUGGUGGCGGCCGGAGGGAGACCCAUGAGGCUCUCUUAACAAUUCUUGACAAUUCUGUGCCCAAGCCCCGCCUCUUGCAUGCAAAUCCCGCCCUUGCAUGCAAGUCCCGCCUCCCACACACAAGUCCCGCCCUCAGACACAAGCUCCACCCCCACAUUCAAGCAGGAAGAGGUCAAAAAUAACUUCCACAAUCUUCAGUGCCAGGUAAGCUUCAGUUUGUCAGUGACUUUGUGUGUAUGUGCCUGCUUGCGAGUGAGCUUGUAUGCUUGUCUGUCGGUGCACUUGUUUGUAUUGAGCGUGUGUGUGUGUGUAUGUAUGUAUGUAUAAAUAUAUAUCAUGUAGUGUGUUUGUGGGGGUGUCUGUGAUUAUGGGUGUGAAUGUAUGUGAUUGUGUGUAUAGGUAUGUAAUUGUAUGUGUGCGUAUGGGUCUGAUUUUUUUGUGUGCAUGUAUGUGAUUGUGUGUAUAGGUAUGUAAUUGUAUGUGUGUGUAUGUGUCGGAUUUUUUGUGUGGGUUUGUGAUUGUGUGUAGAGGUCUGUGAUUGUUUGUGUAUGUAUAUGAUUGUGUGUGUGUUUAUCUGUGUGUGUGUGGGUCUGUGAUUAUGUGUGUGUGUAUGUAUGUAUGUUACUAUAUAUAUAGGUCUGUGACUGUAUGUGUGUGUAGGUCUGUGAUUGUGUGUGUGUAUAUUUGUAAUUGUGUGUAUAGGUCCGGGAUUGUUUGUGAGUGUGUGUGGGUCUGUGAUUGUAUGUGUAUGUCUGUGUACAUCUGUGAUUAUGUGUGUGUAUUUGGCUGUGUAUAGGUCUGUGAUUAUACGUGUGGGUCUGUAAAUGUGUUUAUAUUUGUGAUUGUGCGCAUAGGUCUGUGAUUGUAUGUGUGUCUGUGAUUAUGUGUGUAUAGGUUUGUGAUUUUGUGUGUAUGCAAUUGUGUGUGUUUGUGUGUAUAUCUGUGGUUAUAUGUGCAUAUGCAUAUACAUGUGUAUAUGUAUAGUAGAGAGCUCCCUAAUUUGGUAUCCUUAUAUAUGGCAAUCCCACAUAAGGAUAACAAAUAAGGGAGUUAUCUACUAAAAAAUUGAAAUAUCAAAAUUUAAGAAAAGUUUUAAAGUUGUAUUACAUAAAUUAAUUGUAUUAUAGGUUUUAUGUGUGGCCCAAGGCAAUUCCUCUUCGCUCAAUGCGGCCAAGGGAAGCCAAAAGGUUGUACACCCAUGCUUUAAACAGUAGUAAAAUAAAUGUAGUAACUGAAAAGAAAAGAUAGAUGAAGGAUUCAAUCCUGUAUAACAGUCCUAUAUUCCUGGUUUUUUUUUUAGGUACCACCACACAGGACCAAUAACCAACUUCUUCACACUGAGAGAGGGACUAGCAAUACUGGCUGAACAGGUGGGUUUGAUUCAUACAUGCAGGGAUUUAUGUGGUUAAGUGAAAAACACGUUUAAAACUGUAGGCCAAAAUUGCUGAUUUGUAAAAAUGAAUCAACUCAGUAGUGACAAUAGUUAUUUUAGCCUGAGCUACCUUAACAUAUAUAUUACAUUCUGCAGUAUUGCACACUCUGAAAGAACAUUUUAUUAUCUGCAUUAUACUAUGCCCAAAAUAAAAUUUAAAUAGGCAUCUGCUCUUGGAAGUUUACAUUCUGAAGCAAAAGGGGUAUUUGUAACACACGACCACUAAGCUGAAUAUCUAUCCAAUUUCUCGCAAUGUUGGAUUCUCAACCAUAACUUCAGAAAGAGCUUUUCCACUAAAUUUAACAGCAUGCUGUCACUGAGAACUGAGUAGUCUAUUAACCAAAUGCCACUUUUUAUUUAAUUGUCUUCCAUUUGGCUUAUAAAAAUUACUCUGUUCACUUUUUCACUAUCAACCACAUUGAGACAUAAUUGAGAUAAAAAUAAAUUUCAUUGCUGCAGUCAGAUUAAUUUGAUGGGGGAAAAAAGUCUCUAGCAAAUUGUUACAGAUAUAGCAAAAAAGAAAAAGAUGCCACUAAAGUAAUAGGGGAUUUGAGGGGAGUUAGGGAAUUGGUGUCAUUACAAUAUUACAAUACCACUGCUAAAUAUAAGGAGACGUAGAAUUGGAUUGGUUUUUGCUUAUGGGUAAAAUUUCCUGGGCUGUGUCUGACGCAUCAGAUCAAAUAAAUGCAGGGGAUUCAGUUGCUUUAGAUUGUAAAUUUGUUGUGAAAAAUAAUUGUAGAUUAUGCUAAUGUAGUGUACCUAUAAUCUUAAUAAUGACAGGAGGCAAGUAUUCUAUAUAACUUUCUUUACACAUAAAGCCCUGACAGGCAUAGCUCCUCCUCUUUCUUUGGUGCGAAUAAUAGUCUAACAUAACAUCAGGAAACAUAGCGAACAUAUUGAAGAAACUUGGCAAUCGCAGGUAGAGCUGAAGAGUAAAUUAAUCCAAUUUGUCCAAUCCCGAGACCGCCGAUGAAGGUCACACUGAAAAAAAUCAGAAACAAGUGAAAGGUGAUGGCAGUAAACUGUUUGUCCAUCUAUCAUUAUUAAGUUAUAUUAAGUCUAUAGGUGUACUUACAGUUAAACAUAUUAAAUAUAUUAAUUAGAGAAAUUCCACAAAUCUAUUCCAUGUCAAAAGAUAUGAAGAUUAUAUCAGCCCUGAAAAUACGAAAUCAAUCUAGACUACAACAACCAAGUGAAUCACAGUAAAUUAGAAAAACAAAUAGAUAAAAGUACAAUAGGUAAAAGGGGUGGGAAUCCCAGGGUGGGAAAAUACUUGCCUCCUGUCAUUAUUAAAAUUAAGAUUAUAGGUACACUACGUUAGCAUAAUCUAAAAUUUUACUAUAUGACAGGAAACUUCCUAUUUUGCAUUUUUAACACUGUGGAAGAAAAGCAAAGGAUGCAUGUGAAAUCUGACAGAAAUAAAAGACUCUGAAAGUAUUUUCCCGUGCCCAAUCCGCGGCAUGAGAAUAUCGGCCAGGGAGGCCCCUGCCGUGAACGCCGAGUGAGCGCCGAAACAAGUCUCCACACCCGCCACGGACAAAAGUCAACAUGGUAGUCAUAACAGGUUUGUAUGGUUUGGUAUAAGAAACGAGAAGUUGACCCGAUUGCGAAGGUGAAGUAACUUCCACGUAACGUAAUAAAGUGUUAAGAAAGGAUAUGAUACGGAUGUAGAGUACGUCUUAGUCCGUCACGAGAUCGUGAAGGAAACCCCCUCUGGAGAUACCGAAAAACCGUACACGUCGAAGGCUGAAAUGUCUGAAACCCACGGAACGAAACGAGUCACAAAAGUAGUGUGAGUUUGGCCGAGAGUUGUCUAAGCGAAAGGGCUGAGUUCUCCGGCCAAUCCCGAAGAAAUCGAAAGAACUAAGUUCACAUCUCAUAACCAAGUAUAGUUUGGUGCUGGGGUUCUGGUUAAUUUGAUACCUCAUAAUAAACGACAUACCAGAGAAUCCUGCCCCACUGGGAUACCCUGGAGUGGAAUGUGAGCCUCUGAGAUCGCUGAACGUACUACGUUGAUAGAGCGGUAUGAGCGACCCGACGUGAAAAGGUGUGAUAAAAAGUUUAAUAUUACCGUGACGGGUGCUGUAAAGGGAUCUUGGUUCCUUUCAAAAUACCAACUACUCCAAGUGUUCCAUGUGGAUAUAUAGAUGUGUCUGGUCCCUAGUGCCCAGUAGUCCUAUAGAAGGAUCUAGUUGAUUGCGAUAGUCCAUCGACGGACCAGGUUCCUCUGAAAGACUUCAGGCCACCAGUUCCAAUCAUUCCUGAAGGAUUAGCGGAUGAGGUUCUCCCUGCGGGUUCAUGAGGAGGAGAGGUAACGGUGGUAAGAGUAUCGGAUGCUUCUGAGAUAACGCCAGUAGGUCUGGAAACCAUGCCUGGCGCUGCCAUAAUGGUGCGAUGAGCACCAAAGAUGUCCUUGUGAUGCGAAGACAAUGAAGGACUAUUACCAACAUUGAGAAAAGUGGGAAUGUCCAUGCAUCCUGCGCUGGCCAAGGUUGUAGAAACGUGUCGACUGCUUCUGGGUCUGGAAGCCAGCUGUUGUAUCUUGAGAGCUGUUUGUUCAUUUGUGAGGUGAAGAGAUCUGUGUGGAAUGGACCUCUGAUCCUUUGCACUGUGGCAAACACCGAGGGGUCCAGGCGCCAGUCACUGCUUUCCCUCCAGGGGCGAAAAAAACAGUCCGCUGUGAGGUCGGUGAUUCCCGGAAGAUAUUCUGCCCGGAGAGUGAUGUUGCGAGGAAGGCAAAAACAAUAAAUGUCCUUUGUUGCUUCUGUCAGAGCACGAGAGCGGGCUCCGCCGAGGCGGUUUAUAUAUUGAACCGCCAAGAUAUGCAGAGGAGGAUACAGUAAUCAGACAUGUUUGUGCGAUACUGUGGAUUGCAAAUUAGCCUGCAAUCAGUUCCAGGCAGUUUAUGUGAAGGCUCGUCUCUUUCUCUAACCAUGGGCCCCCUGUGGAGGCGUGUGCGCAGUGUGCUCCCCAGACCCAGAGGCUGGCAUCCGACUCCACUAUGAAAUCCAGUGUGAAUCCAAAGAUGGCUCUGCCGUUCCAGGCUUGCAUAUGUAGGAACCACCAACGAAGUUCUCUCUGUACUUCUGGGGAAACCUGCACCCAGUGGUCGUAUGAGUGUCCUGACCGCAAGUAAUGUGCCUUUAGCUGCUGCAUAGCCCGGUAAUGUAGAGGACCCGGGAUCCUGUAUCGACGAGGAAAGGAGUCCCACUACUUGGACGAGGAGCCGAAGGGGGAUUGAGUCUUUGCGGAGUAUCCAACGUAUCUCUUUGGGAAUCGAGGCCACUUUUGAAGUAGGGAGGCGUAGGAUUCACUUUGAUGAAUCUAUUUCGAACACGAGAAACUGUACUACUUGGGAAGGAGACAGAGCCGAUUUCUCUCUGUUCACUACAAACCCCAAUGGUUCCAGAAAUUUUACUAUAAAUCACGUUUGAGAGAGUAGUCUGGAUGCAGACUCGCAGAAUAUCAAUAUGUCGUUUAAGAAGAUAAGGCAUCGUAUACCUUUGGCUCGAAGGCAUGCCAUGACUGGCUUCAGUAAUUUUGUGAAACACGUGGAAUGGACGGCUCUCUGGUGCGAUUGGCACGGACAGGUAUGCGUCCAGAUGAGUGAACCAAUUGUCUGCGAGGAGUAGGUCCAGUAACAGAUGGAUGCCUUCUAUCUUGAAGUGAUGAUAUACCACAAAUUUGUAGGGUUGACGUAAGUUGAUGACGGGACGAUAGUCUCCCGUCUCUUUCUUGACCACAAAGUUAUUGCUUAAAAAUCCGGUGUUGUCUGAAGUGAAUUGUACAUCACCUUUGAAUCUCCUCCUCUAUUAGGCUUUUGUUUUCCACCUACGUUCGAAGGGGAGGUGGCGGGCCGUAUUGAACCGGUGGCUAAAUUAACCUCGCCAGUUGUGACUGGAGAGGACUACUUGUCAGCCUCUUGCCUUUAGACUAUGGCCCCAUGUUGAAACACUGGAUUUUCCCCUGCAAAGACACGAAAGCUGGGUCAUUCGGUGCUUGUCCUGUUUGAGUGGUGAUACCCCAGAUAGCUAUGCCAUGGAGCCCAUUUGUAUAAUGAAAGACUAUGGGAAAGACUUUGGCUCCAUGGCAAUUGAACUGUAUGUGUGUGAUCUGACCGCCAUUCAGUAAUAAUGUGCGCUCAGAUCUGAGCUAUCUGGGGAUAUGCUGAAUGUACCUGUUUUAUGCAAUGGCUGCACAGUUAUAUAGUUUUAUGUAUUUUAUUGACUUUUGCUGCCAUGUGUUCAGUGGAGUUUUGCCUCUGUCCUUGGAGAUAAUUGGAUUACUUCCCAAUUAUCUCCAGGAGAGAAGACUCUGUGGAAAUGGUUUUGGGCAGAAAAGCCAUGCUUCAUUUGGUCACAAAGGACUUCCGACUAACUUUUGAACUAAUGGAAGGAUUUGCGUGAUUUUUGGUUAUGUUUAUAUUUAAAGUAUGCUGAUUCUGAAUAUGUAUGUGAAUAUGAUGCAUAUUUUUAAAGUUACAGUAUAUGUGUAAAAAAAGUGUAUUUUUCCUGCCUGUGAUAAAUUACAUUAACCCAUUGUGUUCAGUAAUUGUGUCACAGGCAGAGGGGAGGGAUUGUAUGUUGGUGGGUGUGAUUUACGGUUUUCCUGUAAAUGAUUGCAUGGGGACUUGCAUAAAAGCCAGUGUGUGGUCAUUAAAAUUAGAUCAUCUUGUACCUUUCUUGAAGCAUUGGCUCAUCUUUGGAGGAUUGGAGAACUACACUCUGGGGAUUGCUAUAAUCAUUAUACUCCCCAGGGUAUGAUCACUAAGCUCUGCUAAGAGCUUGUUCCUGUUCCUGCUCUCUGGGGAAAGAGAGGUUCACCCACUGGAAGCUGGAUCCUGGCCUUGGGUGCAGGGUGGGUGGAGACAGCGAGACCCCGGCGUAGCUGCAUCGCUGUUAGUGGGGUCUGCAGUGCUGAUGGUGUCGGUGGGAGUGCUUGGAGUCCUCAGCGAACACUAAGAGCAUCGAUUGGCGGAGGUACUCAGUCGGAGUGCCAGCGGUCCGUCACAGUACCCUUUGACCGUUUGGAGAAUCCAAGUGUCCGUAGAGAUCGCUUCCCAAUUCUGUGAUAAAAGGGACAGUCUGCCAACGGUCCACGACCUCAUCCCCGAAAGCCCCUGUAAUGGAAGUUGGUUCGCGAUGAAGGGAAGAAGGAAUGUGUGGACUGUGUUCUGGGGCCUGUGGACCAGAAACAGCUGGUGUCUCAGCCCUGCUGCCGACCAGCCCUGCCAAAAAACACCUGCCAAAAACAGCAACGGCCACGAUCGUGCAAAUGAGAGAUAGAUAAAUCCCUCGGUCAGAGAGCCAGGGUCUCAGACCAGGAGGGAAAGGCUAUGGGAUGCAUAAAACUAGUAUUUAAGGCAAUGUAAGAAGGGAGGUAAAGACAGGGAAGGGAGUAGAAAAGGGAAUAGAGAAUAAAUCAAAAGAGUAUAUACAAUAUUAGUAAAAAUAAGUCAAAUAAUUAAGAAAAUAUCACAAAACAAAAUACCCUGACCUGUGCCUAGCUGGAGCAGCAAAGAAAAAGGAGGAGUUAUGCCUGUCAGGGCUUUAUGUGGAACAUGUUACUUGUUUUUGAUUGGUCUAAGUUUAUGAUUGACUUGUGCUGCAUAAGUAAAGAAAAUUAUGCAAAAUAGGAAGCCUCCUGUCAUGUAGUAAAAUGUUAUUUCUUGUGAUCCCACUGUCCAGCACUGCGUAAAAUGUUGGUACUUAAUAACUAAUAGCAAUGUUAAUAUUAAUAUUUGCAGUUUGGUUUUAAUUGGGGAAUUUGCAAAUAGGCAUAUUUGAACUUUAAUAAAACUUUUAAAAUUCAACUGAAUGAUAGUCAAAUAAAAGUGCAAAUCUGUUUGAAACCAAAUUUGCUUUCUGAGAAUAACUAAAUGGGUUUCUCAAAAAGAUAAAUGGAUAAAUAAAUGGGUUUCACAAAAUGUAUGGUUGAAAAAGUCAAAUCUGGACAGUAUACUAAUAUUUCAAAAUCCAAACCAGGAACUGCAUGCAUACAUAUACAGAGACUUGGGUGCAAGGACCUACACCAAGCCCCUAGAUACAGAUUGCAAAAUAAAUAAAAACAAUAUUAUUUGCCUAAAUAUUGUUCACUUCAUAUGUGUGUUAGCUUUAAAAACUUCAGCUUUGGUUGAAAUGUAGCUGCUGAACAUUUGAGUUCCAAUUAAUAUGCCUAUCUGAAGUGUUGAAAUGCCUGGACCUUAUAAUAAUAUUUGACUGCUGUUAUAGUCCCUCUGACUUAUCUUUCACACAGUGUGGCAUAUCCAUAUCAACAUUUCCCAUAGUGCUGCUGGGCAGUGCACUCAGACAAUGAGUUAUAAUUAAAUUAUAUUCACUUUGUGAAAGUGAGCUACAGGAAAGAUCUACAUUUCUUGUGUGGUAUUCCCCAUAUUUCUGGUGAAAUAUAUAAUGAGAAAAAAAUCAGAAGUGUGUACUGCUGAGCCCGCUUAUUUCUGUCUGAGCUGAACCUGUGUAAAGUAGGGAACAACUACUAUUUAGUGUGUCCACCGAGUUUAAUAAAAAAAAAAAAAAGCACUUUGGUGAUGACUAGAGGCAACUACCACGGCCCCAUAAUUCCACACUUUCAGGUGACUACUAUAUACUGUGACUGUUCAGGUUUGUACCUUGUUAACAUGCUCACCAGAAUGUAACUCAGGAUUGUAUACAAUUAGAGAAAAACUGUUGCAAAGAACAUGCAGUUUGUAAAUUAAUAUUUGUAUCUCAUUUCUAGGGCUUAGAGAAUUCCUGGAACAUGCAUCGUGAGAAUACUUUAAGGCUGCACAAAGGUUUGGAGGCUCUAGGUCUAAAGCUUUUUGUGAAGGAUCCAGUAAGUGAUGUUAAUGAUGAAACUUUCAAUAAAUAAAUAAAAGAAUGAGAGAGCUAGAUAGAUUAAUAUUAAAAUGUUUAAACUAGUGCAGCCCUUUCCAUAUCCUCGUGCACAAAUACAUACAGCAAUACCACUAGUGAAGACUAGAUCACACAACAUAGGAUAUACAUAAAGACAUUCUGCAGCAAUCAAUGUUAUAUAGGCAUGCAAUGAUAUACACUACCACGACAAGUUAAACACAUUGUUAUCGGCAGUAGUAGGUAACAAUGAAAAAAGCUUAAUAUUAGUAAUGAUGGAGGAUAUUCUAGUAAACAUGAUUUGCAUUGCUUGGACAAAGGAAAAAGGUUGUUUCUAUUUCUGAUUGCUGUUGUGAAGUUUGUAAAUCACAUACAUUAGUAGAAAGCACUAAUUUUAGUUGUCUUUAGUAGAAAGGUAUAGGGCACAAAUAAAGGAUCUCUUAUUAUCUGGACCCAAGUAACAGGGCAAACCAUUUGAAAAUGGUUUACCCCAUUACUGAGAAACGGGGCCAGGGUUCUCCUGGCUUCAUAACCGCUUUAGUGGUUAUAAUGCUUGGAGUAAUUCUUUAACUUUAUCUCUCAAUAACCUAGAUCUACCCAAUAUCCUACUGACUGCACACACAACAACUAUGGAAAAUGACCAUAACCACAAUAACAUUAUAAUAUCACCUACACGUAGAGAAGACGAGGAAUGUAUGAGGCCAGGGCUUGACAAUAUCCCAACUGCUAUUCAGGCAUCUGAAUGAACAUAAAUGAGUAACAGACCUACCUAUGUUAAAAGGAGAUGAUAUUACAUUUACUCUGUUUGUAAACCCCGAGGACUGCUUUAAAAAAUAUUUAACCUAAUCCUAAUUCCAUUAGACAAUGUAGGCACAUGUCCUCUUGUUUAGGGCAUGCAUUGAACAAUAUUACAUUUCUCCUUGUCAACCUUUAUGAAAAAUUAAACUGCAGGGAUGCAUUAAAAUACCUUUCACCCAUCACAUGUAUCUUUGGUUAAAAAAAAAAAAACAUCUAGUCACACAACAUACAACCUAGAGGUAGAGAACCAGUAUUUAGAUGCCAUGGAAGACAAGGAAAUCUUACCCUGGCGUUAUCACAAAUAUAUUCCUCUCAUUUACUACUUCCUUAGAGAACUGAGAUGUGAGAUGGAAACAUUAAGAGGAUUUGACUAAUUGUAUGCGCAAAACAAUUAUUUUAUCUAAAGCUAACAACUCAUACCAAGUCCCAACAUGCCCAAAUAUGUUUAUGUGAUCUGAGCGUAGAAACCCUAUUAGAUAAUUAUUUUACUUCUUGUAGAAUUGUCACAGCAAGAAAAAAAAAAUAUUAUAUAUAUAUUUUCCUGACAUGAAUCAAUUCUUACCAUAGGCCCUGCGUCUCCCUACUGUCACAACUAUUAGUGUGCCAGAGGGCUACGAAUGGAGAGAUAUCAUAACGUACCUCAUGAAGAACCACAGCAUCGAAAUCACGGGUGGGCUGGGACCCUCCAGUGGAAAGGUAAACAAAAGUGUAGGAGAGAAACAAGGACAACAAAAAUCAAAAGAGUGGUGGUAUUGUAAUUAGUUUGUUAUUAUUAUUUUUUUUUAAUUUACAAACUGGUUUUCUAAUGCACCAAGAAUAUUCUUGUUUUCCACGAUGUCCUGGGAUGCACAGACAAUAUAAUGCAAUUAAAGGAACACUUAAAACACAUAAAGCACUUCAGCUUGCUAAAGUGCUUCAAGUGUGAAAAGUGUGUCCUGAUUUUUUCAUUUUUUAAAAGUCCAAAUUUCAGAGCUAUAUAAUAUAUUCUGGAAGUGUAAUAUUUAGCAGUGUUCAUGGAACAAUGCCUUCACUUGUGGCAAAAAAAAAAAAUAUGCAUAGUAUAGGAAUACUAGUAAUAAUAGCAAUUCAACUGUAGGGUAAUAGCUUCUUGAUCCAAGGAUAAAUCUGACUGCCAUUCUAGGGUCAAGAGGGAAUUUUGUUUCCUAGUUGUUGCAAAACUUAAAGUGCUUCAAACUGUUUUUGUUGCCUUCAUUUGGAUCAACAGCAAAAAACAUAUGUGAGGAAGGCUGAACUUGAUGGACACGUGUCUCUUUUCAGCCAAUGGAACUAUGUAACUAUUUGUAAUUAUUGUUUGGUGUCACCACAAUCUUUUUGGUGUAGCUAUAUAUGCAGGGCCGGCCCAAGACAUUCUGGCCAAGUAUGAAAUGCUUUCCCACCCCAUUCCUCACCCCCAAAACCCCCCCACAAAAGCAUAUGCUUCGGCAAUCGUAGUGUCUCUAUGUGAGUGUGCUGUGGAUGACAUGUGUCAACUGUAUGUGUGUCAGUAUAUGUAUCAAAAACGGACACACGUGCAGAUACUGACAAACAUACAGAUGUAUAGACACACUGAUACGCCUACUGAUACACAUACAGACACACACACUGCCACACAUGCAGAUACACAGACAUACAGAUACACAUUACACACAUACAGUAUACACAAACUACACACACACACACAAUACACAUACAUAAACACACAUACAAACACACAGAUACCCACACUACAUACAGAACACACACUACACAGAUACAGAUACACACACUAUACAAACACAGCUACACACACAUUACACUCAUACAAACAGAUACACACAUACACACACGUACAAACACACACACAGAUACACACACUACACAUACACACUUGCAAACACACAGAUACAUACACAAAAACACACAGAUACCCACACUACAUACAGAUAUACAUACAUUACACAUAUACAAACAGAUUCACACACACACAUUAAAAAAAUUAAGCCACCCAGCAGGUUCUUACCUUCUGCUGGCUGUGGCUGGUGGGAGUUGGGGGCCUGCUCUCCCUAUCCAGCCCCAUCCUCGCGGCUUCCUCCUCCUCCCCCUCCUGUGCGGCUGUGUGAGUGAGCUGGGAGGAAGUGAUACGCUGUCACUUCCUCCCAGCUCUCUGUGCAUGAUAGAAGGGUCUCGGUCGCGCUUUUUAAAGUGCCACAGCGCACGACUGGGCCCCUCAUUGCAUAUGUCCACUGCAUAUGCCCUAAGGGCAUGGGCCAUCCGAUGGACCCUCACACAGGUUCCCAACUCGUUCGGUGGGAAAUCUUGUUUUAGAUUAUGACAGGAGCGGCAAAAUGCUGCCCCUGUCAGAGUGCCACCUGGAGCCAUGGCUCCAGAACGGUCUGUUGAUGGGCUGGCCCUGUAUAUAUGCUCUCAGAGAAACUUAAACUUCCAAACAAGACCAGACCCAUGCUGAUGAGACCCACAAGGUCAAACUGCAGUCUAUGGUUGGUUUCUGGUCACUGGUCCUUGUGGAUCAUAGCCCAUGUGGUUUAAAAAAAUAAAAUAUUUAAAACAUUAUGCUUAUCUGUGCUUUGUCACCAUAUUGUACUAUAUGCUAGGUUCAUAGCUCAGUGUGUGAUAAAAUGGCAGGCUUUAUUCCUUUAUUUAUUAAACAAGCUAUUGUGACAAAUUCAAUUUUUUUUUCUAAAAUUUGCAAUUCCAUUGUCACAUCUCUACAAUCUUACAAAGUUCAUGUUUAGAGAAUUAACUUCUAAAUGUAUAAUUCCUGAAACGGAAACUUUUAUUACAUGAAUCUGCCUUAUUUCUGCUUCACAGGUUCUCCGUAUUGGACUAAUGGGAUACAAUUCAACCAAAACCAAUGUGGAUCGCGUUCUCGAUGCUCUCCGUGAUGCCCUGAAACACUGUCCUAGAAGCAAAAUGUGAAAGUGUUAUACAAUGCUGUCAAAGGAACCAAUUUAUCUAUUCUAGCUACCAGCUUACAUCCUUUGUAUCCUGUUUCUCCAUUCCAUACCCAGUAAUUGCAGAACGUUAUUAUUUAGAAAUCAGGAAUAAAUGAACUGUGACCACACGUACAAAAUAUCCGUAGUAGAAUUAUGUCCUAUAUUGUAGCGUUAUCCCAAUGAGGAAACAGGAAUACACUCCAGGGCAGUGUAAUAGGGAGAGUAAUGAUCCGUGCCUUGGAUUUAACUCAUCACAACAGUGUUGCAUUAAAUGCCUCUUAAAUAUUGUCACUGUUAGUUGGAGGGAUUCAUUUGGCACUCAUCUACGUUCUAACACUAGGAGGCUUAUUCGCUAAUUAGUUCAUUUAAAGUGAAUUUCAAAGUUAAGGCUAAAAUAGCCAAACUGGAAAGAUUCUCCAAGUCAGCUAUGCUUCCAAUUCAGCUUCUCUGGCCUUAAUUCUGAAUUUCACUUUCAAUUCUCAUUUUAGGGAAUUACCUGAUAGUUUACUGCUAGAUACACACACACAUAUAUCUACAUACAGUACAUGCAUAAUAUGCAAUAAUAAUUGAUCAGAUAAAUUUAAAGCCCUCAAGUGAGGUAUCACAUUUUUCUUAUUAUGUUUCUAUUAUCACAGUUUCUUUAAAUAUUUCCUUUUUAAAUAGAUCCAAACCAUUUUAGUUGAUAAAAUAUAAGAUAGCGUGAAUACUAUGCAUAUUUUCGACUAUGAACAAUGAAUGUCUUAUAUGUGCCUUAGAUUGCUAAUAAAAUUGUUCCACUGAAUGAGGUCAGAGAAAAUAUUUCAUAUUACGACAAAUAGUAAGAGGUGACUGUUACAGCCUUGUGGUUUCAGCAUUGUGACCUGGCUGCUGUUGUGACUUGAUUGGAGAAAAUAUUACUGGUAAAAUAGUUUUAAUUGAAAAAAAUGGUUUUGCACUCACAUGUAAUCAAUUCAUGUUUGCUUACAGUACAUCAAUAACAGUUCUUAUUAGUUUUUAGCUUUUAGGUGCCUCCCAACAGGCAUCAAGCCAAUAAAAUAUUUCAUCCACUCUUCCAAAUUGAUAUAACAGAAAUCCUAGGUUCAGUGUAAUGCUGAGCAGUGGAUAACAGAGA